rnacentral:rRNA from 1 species
UAAAACGUAGGAGCCAAGCGUUAUCCGAAUUCACUGGGCGUAAAGCGCGUGCAGGCGGCCCGAUAAGUUGGAUGUGAAAUCUCCUGGCUCAACUGGGAGAGGCCGUUCAAUACUGUUGGGCUCGAGGGCGACAGAGGGAGGUGGAAUUCCGGGUGUAGUGGUGAAAUGCGUAGAUAUCCGGAGGAACACCAGAGGCGAAGGCGACCUCCUGGGUCGUACCUGACGCUCAGACGCGAAAGCUAGGGGAGCGAACGGGAUUAGAAACCCCGGUAGUCCUAGCCGUAAACGAUGUAGACUGGGUGUCGGCGGGGUAAAAGCCGUCGGUGCCGAAGCCAACGCGAUAAGUCUACCGCCUGGGGACUACGGCCGCAAGGUUAAAACUUAAAUGAAUUGACGG